rnacentral:lncRNA from 1 species
CACAGUAAGGGUUGCGGGGCUUGGAGACCAAGCACGCGUCCCUGGGAGGUCUGCAGGGUGCUGGCAGCUGCAAAUCGCUUGGACUACAGUGAGGGGCAUUGUGUGACUCCAAGGGGGCUUUCCAUGCACCGAAUGGACUCAGUUUCUAAACUCACAUCCUGAUGUACCUGGCAUUUCACAGAAUACUGGAGACAUGACUGCAUGCACGAUCACGGUUCUUGUAGUGAAGCUGCCACCAUGUUAAUGCUUAACAGCUGCAUAAAUAUUAUAAAGAAAUAGGGUUUUCCUGACACUUAGAUUUAACCUUAAUGCAUCUAACCAGCUGAUGGUAUCAGACGUGCUACUGUUCAUUUCUUUUUCAUGGUAACAGUAACGUAUAAAGUGCCAAUGAUGUAACAUGCAGUUGUCUUAUUUUCAUCAGGGCAUUUGUUUCAUGGCUCUGUUUAGUUGUUUUAAAAUAGUAAAUGGCUUUUGUUUGCGAUUUCAGAUUCUGGAACAUGUGUGGUGCUGUCCGUGGUGCGCCGUUCUGGGCGGCGCCGUGCCUGGUGGGGAAGGAGGAGCCCCUCAUGGAUCGCAGUGUUUGUUGGUUGUGAUUUGGGGAGCACGAAGGAGAGCAAUGCAGUUGAGAGCGGUGGGGGACCCGGCCUCCCCGCCCGUCCGCAUGCCCGUCACUGCUCGUCCGACACACUUUGCUGCAAAGUGUGUCGACAACACGCUGCAAGGCCGUGUCAUCCAGGCCCAUGUCCUCCUGGCUUGCUGCCCUGCAGACAACCCCGAGAGUCUCCGCCACAGCCUCAGCCAGACAUCGGUCACGAAGCUGCCCCUGCUCGGUGGCAUCGGUGGGCUCACAUGGCUCGGAGAGGUGCUUCCAAAGAGAAGAGAGAAGCAGUGAACAGCUCAGCAAAUGUGCACUACCCACUUGUAACUGGCAUCACCCCACCCAUGCUGUGAGAGCUAAAGGCUAGUGCUGCCAUAUCCUUGAGGUCAUGUUCUAAAGUCAGGUCAAAUGAUGGAGGGCCAGCACAGUGGCCUCUGAGGACAGGACGGAC